rnacentral:SRP_RNA from 10 species
GGCAGGCAUGGUAGUGCAGGCAUGUAGUCCCAAAUAUGAGGCAGGAGAUUGCUUGAGUCCAGGAGUUCUGGGCUGUUGUGCACUAUGCCCAUCAGGUUUCUGCACUAAGUUCAGCAUCAGUAUGGUGACCUUCUGGCAAUGGGAGACUACUAGGUUGCCUAAGGAGGAACGAACUGGCCCAGGUUGGAAAUGAGCAGGUCAAAAUCCCAUGCUGAUCAGCAGUAGUAUUGCACCUGUGAAUAGUCAAUGGCAUUUCAGCCUGGGCUACAUAGCAAGACCCUCUUC